UACGGAGGAUGCGAGCGUUAUCCGGAAUCAUUGGGUUUAAAGGGUGCGUAGGCUGGUAUUUAAGUCAGUGGUGAAAUUUUCGUACUUAACAUGAGAGCUGCCAUUGAUACUGGGUACCUAGAGUGUAUUUGAUGUGGGCGGAAUGUGUUGUGUAGCGGUGAAAUGCUUAGAUAUGACACAGAACACCGAUAGCGAAGGCAGCUCACAAAGUUACAACUGACGCUGAUGCACGAAAGCGUGGGGAUCAAACAGG
rnacentral:rRNA from 1 species